GGAAGCUGUUUAGGAUCAUAGAUGUUAGACGACCCAUUAGAUCAUGUUUUCUAAAGCAGAAAAAUAGGAAUACAGAUAUUUUCCUUUUUUUUUUCAUUUUUUCCUCUCCCAAAGCACUACUGUAGCCUGUACUGCUCAGAACUCAGAUAGUUCUAAAUUAAAAAAAAAAAAAAAGAAAUUUCCAUUUCUCCCCUUAGUAACUAUAGUGUACCCAAUGGAAUAUACUUAACAGGAGCCUUGUUUGUUUGUUUGUUUGUUUGUUCUUUUCUUGCCAGAUUAAAAUUUAGUAUUUUAUAAUACUGUAAAGAAGCUACUGACUUCAAGAUCUGGGAUACACAUAUUCUUUUCCUGCCUAUAAAUACAAAACAAUAUAUAACACAGAAAGUCAUCCCAAAGGCAAGGUCAUUUACUCCAAGGAGUGGAAUAUGGGCAUUAUAAUUCACUAAUCCCUUAUGGCUGAAUGAAUCUGAAUGAAGAGUAAAAAUGUGGAUUUUUAAAGAUAUAUUACUGCUGUAAUCAUUCAUCAAUAAAAUAGGUGUGAAAUUGAAGUUUAUUACGGGUAGCCAGGCUAGAAAAGCAGGGAACGGCUUCUUCGUUUCCUGAUAAGCACCCUCUCUGAGACUGAGUCUUGUUGCCUGGAUGUCUGACAUGCUUCCAGGAGCCCUUUGAAAACCGCCUCUGUGUUCCAGACAGUGAUUUUUGCCCUAGACAGAUUUUAGAGCGGGAAGGCCACUCAUCUGUAUCCUUAGAGAUGAUUCACGUAUUUGUGUUCUGUAAAGUAGAUUAGGAAGAAAAACUUGCUGCUUUGUUAAUUAGGGCCCUUUAACAUUUUGUAUUCUCAAGUUUAAUCAUUUGCGUAUUUGAACUAAAGUCAUUUUCCUUAAUCACUGUCAUUAGUAGCUGUCCAUAAAUGAUAUUCUCUCUCUGAAUUUUACAAGCAUGCUCUUAUUUAAUGCAUUUUCCAUUAGGGAUUGGGUAGCAGCAUUUUACAUUUUAAACAACUAAGAUGAGUUAUUGGAAUAUUUCACCUCUUUUUUCCCUGCAAGUCUCGGUGCUUCUCGAGCUUGCCAUUGGGCAGCCAGCAACUGGGGGAGGAGCUAGCACUUUCUAAUCUUGUACUACUUUGUAGUUUAAAAUGUCCACAUGUUCAAAGUGUUACCCAAAAUGACACCCAGUGGUUCAGUCUCAAUCUUCCUAGUGUUAAAUAUCUGUAUCUUCGGGGAAGAGUCCAUUACGUUUUGGAAGGAUAUAUUGAAAACUCUUCCUUCUACUG
rnacentral:lncRNA from 1 species